rnacentral:rRNA from 1 species
ACGAAGCCAUGCAUGUCUCAGUAUAAAUCUCUAACACGGUGAAACUGCGAAUGGCUCAUUAAAACAGUCAUCGUUUAUUUGACGGUCAAACCAUUGGUUACACGGAUAACUGUGGUAAUUCUAGAGCUAAUACAUGCAUAAAGCGUCGACUUCUCGGAAGACGUGUGUUUAUUAGAUACAGAACCAGUACCUUAACGGGUAAUUUGGAUGAUUCAUAAUAAAUGAACGGAGCUCAAGCUUGUGCUGGAGCUCGGUCAUUCAAGCUUCUGACCUAUCAGCUUCCGACGGUAGUGUAUUGGACUACCGUGGCUUUGACGGGUAACGGAGAAUUAGGGUUCGAUUCCGGAGAGGGAGCCCGAGAAACGGCUACCACAUCUAAGGAAGGCAGCAGGCGCGCAAAUUAUUUUUUCCUGACACAGGGAGGUAGUGACAAGAAAUAACAAAGCAAGUGGCAUACGUCAUUUUGCUCUUGGAAUGAGUAGACUUUAAAUCUCUUUUCGACUAUCAAUUGGAGGGCAAGUCUGGUGCCAGCAGCCGCGGUAAUUCCAGCUCCAAUAGCGUAUAUUAAAGUUGUUGCGGUAAAAAAGCUCGUAGUUGGAUUUCUGUUGAGGACGGUCGGUCCGCUCUAUGAGCGUGUAUCUGGCUUUUGUCCUCGGCAUCCCGUGGGAAAGCGGUCUUGCGCUUAAAUGCGUGAACCGGUCUACCCACGCUUUUACUUUGAGGAAAUUCGAGUGUUUACGGCAGGCAUUGUCCGCUGUGAAGAUGUUAGCAUGGAAUAAUAAGAUAGGACCCUGGUCCCAUUUUGUUGGUUUCUGGAACUAAGGUAUGCGCGGUUAAUAGGAACAUUUGGGGGCAUUUGUAUCGGCCGGUCAGAGGUGGAAUUCUUGGAUUCGGUCGCGACAAACUACUGCGAAAGCAUUUGUCAAGGAUGUUUUCAUUGAUCAAGAAC